rnacentral:sRNA from 1 species
GGGCAGUAUAGUUAGACGUAACGAAAAGUGGAAAUCCUGUCCAUUUACUGCUCCGUUACUGUUUUAGG